rnacentral:rRNA from 1 species
GACGAACGCUGGCGGCGUGCCUAAUACAUGCAAGUUGAGCGCUGAAGGUUGGUACUUGUACCAACUGGAUGAGCAGCGAACGGGUGAGUAACGCGUGGGGAAUCUGCCUUUGAGCGGGGGACAACAUUUGGAAACGAAUGCUAAUACCGCAUAAAAACUUUAAACACAAGUUUUAAGUUUGAAAGAUGCAAUUGCAUCACUCAAAGAUGAUCCCGCGUUGUAUUAGCUAGUUGGUGAGGUAAAGGCUCACCAAGGCGAUGAUACAUAGCCGACCUGAGAGGGUGAUCGGCCACAUUGGGACUGAGACACGGCCCAAACUCCUACGGGAGGCAGCAGUAGGGAAUCUUCGGCAGUGGACGAAAGUCUGACCGAGCAACGCCGCGUGAGUGAAGAAGGUUUUCGGAUCGUAAAACUCUGUUGGUAGAGAAGAACGUUGGUGAGAGUGGAAAGCUCAUCAAGUGACGGUAACUACCCAGAAAGGGACGGCUAACUACG